rnacentral:rRNA from 1 species
CAGUCGCCGCGGUAAUACGUAGGUGGCAAGCGUUGUCCGGAAUUAUUGGGCGUAAAGCGCGCGCAGGCGGAUCAGUCAGUCUGUCUUAAAAGUUCGGGGCUUAACCCCGUGAGGGGAUGGAAACUGCUGAUCUAGAAUAUCGGAGAGGAAAGUGGAAUUCCUAGUGUAGCGGUGAAAUGCGUAGAUAUUAGGAAGAACACCAGUGGCGAAGGCGGCUUUCUGGACUGUAACUGACGCUGAGGCUCGAAAGCCAGGGGAGCGAACGGGAUUAGAUACCCCGGUAGUCCCUGUCUCUUAUACA